rnacentral:lncRNA from 1 species
UAGCGGCGGCGGCGGCAGAGUUCACCGGAGAAGUGGAAUUGAAAGGGGAAAUUUAGAGAGAACCCUAGGUAGCUUUAAUUUGAGGAAUUGGGAAAAGAGAGAAGAUAGAAAAGAGGAGGGAGGAGAGGCGCCAGCCUCGCCGCGCCGGAGGCGGUGAGAACCGGCAACGUCCGCUGAAGAAGGAAGGGAGAGAGACGGUAGGGGCUGUUUCCUGAAAUUAAUGGGGACGAAUCCAUCUAUUAAACCCAUCUGAUGGGUCUCAACUCUCAAGGCUUACUUUUUACCUUUUUGGGGUUAGUUAAUACAUUAAUGGGC